rnacentral:misc_RNA from 1 species
AAAAAGCGUCUGGUCAGGCUUAUUUUGUCACAAAUAUGGAGCCAAUAAAGUUUUGGGAUUUUGUUGCACUUAUUCUUGAAGGUCUUGGUUACGGAAGGCCAAGAAUCAAAAUUCCUGCUUCUGUUAUGAUGCCAAUUGCAUAUUUGGUGGAGUUAACUUAUAAGCUGUUGGCGGCAUAUGGAAUGAAGGUCCCACAGUUGACCCCGUCAAGAAUCAGACUCCUAUCUCGUAGCAGAACAUUUAGUUGUUCGAAAGCAAAUGAUCGCCUUGGCUACACACCAAUUAUCCCACUUCAGGAGGGCCUAAGGAGGACAAUUGAAUCAUAUCCACAUUUGAGAGCUGAACAACGGUUAAAAAAGGAAGGCCCUUCUAAAGCUUCUCUAUUUCUCGGAAGUGGGAGAGUUGCUGACACACUUCUUUGGAGGAAUAAGAAACAGACACUAAUGGCAGCAUUAGUUCUAGCUGCAAUUUAUUUCAAUUUCAUAGCUUCUGGCUCCACCAUAAUAACCUCUAUAUCAACAAUUUUGUUGGUGGCAUCGGUUUUCUUGUUCAUCCAUGGGAGACUGCCUCAGAGAAUAAUGGGUUAUAAGUUUGACAAAGUCCCUGUAUCAAGCUUCCAUGUAUCGGAAGAGACAUCGCACCAAUUUGCUCUGUCAGUGGUCUCAGGGUGGAAUUCUGCAGUGAAGGGUUUAAAAUCUCUUUGUAAA